rnacentral:lncRNA from 1 species
UUUCCCGUGCUGUUCUCAUGACAGUGAGUAAGUCUCAUGAGAUCUGAUGGUUUUAAAAAGCAAAGUUUCCCUGCACAAGCUGUCUUCUCUCGUCUGCCACCAUGUGAGAUGGGUCUUUCACCUUCUGCCAUGAUUGUGAGGCCUCCCCAGCCACAUGGAACCGCUGGAAUGAGGCUGUGAGGCUCCAGCAGCCGUUUUGUGCCACGAGGCAGUAGAAACCUGGGUUCCUGAUGACUGUGGAGCUGCCGAACUAAUCUGGACCUCCAGAUUCCAUACCUGCAAGACACAUGAACAUCUGUCUUAUGCCGUGGAAACAGAAAUCUAGUGGAGGAUUCUGAUCCCUAGGGAAUGUAGGGCCACUGGACCCAAUUGCCCUAUAAUCUUGUGUGGUAUUUCCCUGCCCCUGCUCAACUUCAUUGGAUGGUAUUGCCUUGGUCUUUGUUUCUUGAGGAGUCACAGAAAGAAAGACACAGACCAGGACUGGGAGGUGGAACUGGAAGUGCUGGAGAUGAGCUGCUGUGGCUGUAUGGACAAAGGCAAGAUCCUAUGGGAUGGCCAAGCAACCAGACAGAAGAACUCUUGAGACCUUGAGGAAAAGAACUGCCCGCAACUGCUCUUGACACUCUCUCCCUCUGGCCUGUUGUGUGGGAGAGAAAUAA